rnacentral:rRNA from 1 species
AACGAACGCUGGCGGCAGGCUUAACACAUGCAAGUCGAGCGCCCCGCAAGGGGAGCGGCAGACGGGUGAGUAACGCGUGGGAAUCUACCCAUCUCUACGGAAUAACGCAUGGAAACGUGUGCUAAUACCGUAUACGUCCUUCGGGAGAAAGAUUUAUCGGAGAUGGAUGAGCCCGCGUUGGAUUAGCUAGUUGGUGGGGUAAAGGCCUACCAAGGCGACGAUCCAUAGCAGGUCUGAGAGGAUGAUCAGCCACACUGGGACUGAGACACGGCCCAGACUCCUACGGGAGGCAGCAGUGGGGAAUAUUGGACAAUGGGCGCAAGCCUGAUCCAGCCAGGCCGCGUGAGUGAUGAAGGCCCUAGGGUUGUAAAGCUCUUUCACCGGUGAAGAUAAUGACGGUAACCGGAGAAGAAGCCCCGGCUAACUUCGUGCCAGCAGCCGCCGUAAUAC